rnacentral:tRNA from 1 species
GGCUCAUUGGUCUAGUAGUAUGAUACUUGAUUCGGGUGUAAGUGAUCCCGGGUUCAAUUCCCGGAUGGGCCC